GAAACUAUAUAAAAUGUAUUUACUAAGAUAAAAUCGUAUGUAUGUUUUUCUAGUGUCAAAAUUCAUGAAACUUGAAACCCUAUUAAGGAUGCAGUCGUGUCAGGUUUAGGAUUUUUUGUCAGAUAAUUAUUGUUCGAACUCCUAUUGUUUCUUCCUUUGAUACAGUGUAAAAUGCUUUUGCACUAUAUCACCCACUUCUCUUUUCAUUUAUAUGCACUUCAAAAAAUCAUAAAAGUUCAUUUACCAAAGUCUACACAGAUUCUAGUUUAUUUUCUUCAGAUUUAAGACCCAAAGAAUGCCAAUACUAAUUAGAAGGUAAAAGUCUGAAUCAGCCAUGCAUUCCCACCACGUUUUUUAUUAGAUAUCAAAUAUCUGGAAAAUGAGUUCCAUAACCUAUCAGUAUUUUUAGCUUAUUGUGUUCCUUUAAUUCUUCUCUCUGUUGUAUAGUAUCAGUUAUAAAUGUUUGAUUUUUAAAUUUCACCUGACUACAUCCUUAAAUGAAUUGCUUAAUUUGUUUGUAUUAAAAUAGAAAUGUAAAUAUAUGCCUCACACAAAAAUGUGCAAGCUAAGCACUAGUUUUCUUGGUUGUUUUUUUGUAACCAGACUGCAUGAAUAUGUGCGCUAGUAUCCAGCAAAUAAGAAUUAUAAUGAAUAAACAAAACUGUCAUUAAUUUUCUUAUGAUACCCCACCC
rnacentral:lncRNA from 1 species